rnacentral:rRNA from 1 species
CCUACGGGUGGCAGCAGUGAGGAAUAUUGGUCAAUGGGCGUAAGCCUGAACCAGCCAAGUCGCGUGAGGGAUGAAGGUUCUAUGGAUCGUAAACCUCUUUUAUAAGGGAAUAAAGUGCGGGACGUGUCCCGGUUUGUAUGUACCUUAUGAAUAAGGAUCGGCUAACUCCGUGCCAGCAGCCGCGGUAAUACGGAGGAUCCGAGCGUUAUCCGGAUUUAUUGGGUUUAAAGGGUGCGUAGGCGGCCUUUUAAGUCAGCGGGGAAAGUCUGUGGCUCAACCAUGGAAUGGCCGUUGAAACUGGGUGGCUUGAGAAUGUGUGAGGCAGGCGGAAUGCGUGGUGUAGCGGUGAAAUGCUUAGAUAUCACGCAGAACCCCGAUUGCGAAGGCAGCCUGCCGAGCCAUGACUGACGCUGAUGCACGAAAGCGUGGGGAUCAAACAGGAUUAGAUACCCGAGUAGUC